rnacentral:rRNA from 1 species
GUGCCAGCAGCCGCGGUAAUACAGGGGGGGCAAGCGUUGUUCGGAAUUACUGGGCGUAAAGGGCUUGUAGGCGGCCGACUAAGUCCGACGUGAAAUCCCCAGGCUUAACCUGGGAACUGCGUCGGAUACUGGUUGGCUUGAAUCCGGGAGAGGGAUGCGGAAUUCCAGGUGUAGCGGUGAAAUGCGUAGAUAUCUGGAGGAACACCGGUGGCGAAGGCGGCAUCCUGGACCGGCAUUGACGCUGAAAAGCGAAAGCCAGGGGAGCAAACGGGAUUAGAUACCCCAGUAGUCC